AUGAGUAUUUUUAAGUUAGCAUAUAUGGAUAAAUAUUAAAAGUAUCCGCAGCGAUAUGCAAUUUUGAAGUUAAAAUGGAAGGAAGGAACUCGGCAAAUCUUAGCUUCGCCUGUUUAUCAAAAACAUGGCUCUCUGUUACUUUAAUAUAGGGAGUCGGACCUGCCCAGUGAAAUUUUUUAACGGCCGCGGUACCCUGACCGUGCAAAGGUAGCAUAAUCAUUUGCCUUAUAAUUGAAGGCUUGUAUGAAUGGUUUGACGGGAGCAUUGCUGUCUCCCUCCCAGUAGAUAGAACUUGACCUUUAGGUGAAGAGGCCUAAAUAUAAUUGAAAGACAAGAAGACCCUGUCGAGCUUUAAAAUUAGAUUAGAGGGAAAUAUAAAAUAGCCUAAAUUUAUAGCUAAUUGGUUUUUUGGUUGGGGCGACCGAGGAACAGCAAGAGCUUCCUUUAUCUAAGCUGACUUAUAGGUAUUGAUCCAGCCUAAAGCUGAUUAAAAAAAUUAGUUACCGCAGGGAUAACAGCAUAAUCUCUCUUAAGAGACCAAAUCGAAAGAGGGGGUUGUGACCUCGAUGUUGGACUAGAAUAUCCUGAAGAUGCAAA
rnacentral:rRNA from 1 species